GAUAGAAGUUCCUGUCACUUUCUCCUUUUUUAUGGAGUAGGAUGUGAUACUCCUUCUAGUGGAAAUACCAGUCAAAUGUCCAUGGGUCUUGAAGAGUCACUACAAACUCCUAGAGAUUCUCUCCAGAAGGGAAAAGGGAACUCAUCUAUGGAUAGUGCAGCAGUAUGCAGUGGAACCCCCACAAUUUGCCGACAAGCACAGACCAAACUAGAAGUGGCCCUGUACAUGUUUCUGCGGAACCCUGACACUGAAGCUGUUCUGGUCGCCAUGUCCUGUUUCUGCCACCUCUGAGGAAGCAGAUACCUGGUGUGGGGUGGAUGAAGUGUCAGUGCAUAACCUCUUGCCCAACUCUAACACAUUCGUGGAGUUUGCCUGUCAGCGAUAUGAUGUCAACAGGCUUGGGAAGAUACACAUGCAAAAUGGGAACAAGCAACAAAACUAAUCCUUAGCUAUCCAAAAGCCCAAAUGGAAAAUGGCCAGGCUGUUGAAAGCUUCACAAGACCAUUGUUAAGAGGCAAAUGUCCCAUGUGAGUGGAGGAGGACCCAUAGAUUUGUCUGACACAGACUCCCUACAGGCAUGGAUCAACAUGACUGGCUUCCUUUGUGCCCUUGGGGGAGUGUGCCUCCAGCAGAGAAGUAAUUCUGGCCUGGCAACCUAUAGCCCACCCUUGGGUCCAGUCAGUGAACAUAAGGGUUCCAUGAUUUCAGUGAUGUCCUUGGAGGGAAAUGCAGAUACACCUGUCAGCAAAUACAUGGAUCAGCUGUUGUCGUUAAUGGUGUGUAACCAUGAGAAAGUGGUACUUCAAAUAUGGACCAAUGAUAAGGACCUGGUGGGUCUAGAAUUGAGUCCUGCUCUUUAUCUGGUGCUAUUUAACAAAUUGAAGGAGACUAUCGGCAAGUUUUUUGACUCCCAAGGACAGGUUUUAUUGACUGAUACCAAUACUCAAUUUGUAGAGCAAACCCUAGCUAUAAUGAAGAACUUGCUAGAUAAUCAUACUGAAGGCAGCUGUGAACAUCUAGAGCAAGCUAGCAUUGAAACAAUGAUGUUAAAUAUGGUCAGGUAUGUUCGUGUGCUUGGGAAUAUGGUCCAUGCAAUUGAAAUAAAAACGAAACUGUGUCGGUUGAAGUAACAAUGGCAAGGAGAGAUGACCUCUCAUUUUGCCUAGAAAUGAAAUUUAGGUGAUUACCCAACGUUUCCCUCAGAACAGCAUCGGUGCAGUAGGAAGUGCCAUGUUCCUCAGAUUAUCAAUCCUGCCAUUGUCUCACCAUGUGAAGCAGGGAUUUUAGAUAAAAAGCCACCACCUAGAAUCAAAAGGGGCUUGAAGUUAAUGUCAAAGAUACUUCAGAGUAUUGCCAAUCAUGUUCUCUUCACAAAAGAAGAGCAUAUGCGGCCUUUGAAUGAUUUUGUGAAAGCAGCUUUGAUGCAGCAUGAAGUGACGGCAGUGUGCUCACUUUACAUGUCUACUCUGGAACAAUCAGGAGAAAAUCGGCCAGUAUCUUUCCAGCAACAGG